UAUUUGCCGCUAGUGUCCGCUUAGGUGCAACUUUCAUCGGCGGUAAAGUAUGUUCAUAGCUAUAAGAAAGUGACUAACUGAUACGAAUUAAGAAAAGACCUGGGCAAGCUGUAAGAAUGAAAUAUGGCCGAACAGGCGACAAUACCGAAUACCUGCAGGAAGUUAACAUUACUGCCAUGAACUGACAGCUUCUACAACAUUAAACACAAUUUAGAACCAUAGACCAAAUUCAAAAUAUGUAUUUUCGAAUAUAGGAAGAAGUGCCACGGGGGUACAUUCUUACUAGAGGCUAUAAUAAGGGCUCGUCGAGGGAAUAUCCGAUAUUAAAUAAAUUGCACUGGCUUAAAUUUGUUUUUUUCGUUUUAUUUGCAUUUUUGAAAAACUAAAGUUUUGUCUCAAUAUGGUAUUUGUGCUCAAUUUGUUUAUUACAUUUCACAUUUAUACCAGCAAUAGCAACUUUUUUCAAAUAUCUUGCGCACCCUGUAUAAUAUACGAAAACUGUAAAUAGGAAAACAAUUUGCGACACUAUUUAAACCAAAUUAUACCAUCUUUUAGAGUUUUUCAUUUACGAGUCUUUUUGAUUUUUUACCCAUAACCGAUAUACUCUAUACAUAAUAGAAAAAAUGACCGAAUCAGAUUCUGUUUAAUAAGGGCUCGUGGAUGAAAAGGACGAUAUUAAACAGUUUAUUUUGGCUUAAUUUGUAUUUUCUUGUUUUUCAUUUUAAUUACAUUUUUUAAUUUCG